rnacentral:rRNA from 1 species
CCUGCCCCUUCACUCUGGGAUAAGCCUUGGAAACGGGUCUAAUACUGGAUAUUCAUACAUUGUCGCAUGGUGGUGUGUGGAAAGAGUUUUUGGUGGGGGAUGGACUCGCGGCCUAUCAGCUUGUUGGUGAGGUAGUGGCUUACCAAGGCUUUGACGGGUAGCCGGCCUGAGAGGGUGACCGGCCACACUGGGACUGAGACACGGCCCAGACUCCUACGGGAGGCAGCAGUGGGGAAUAUUGCACAAUGGGCGCAAGCCUGAUGCAGCGACGCCGCGUGAGGGAUGACGGCCUUCGGGUUGUAAACCUCUUUCACCAGGGACGAAGCGGAAGUGACGGUACCUGGAGAAGAAGCACCGGCUAACUACGUGC